rnacentral:rRNA from 1 species
ACGUGAGCAACCUACCGAAUUGUGGGGGAUAGCCGGCCCAACGGCCGGGUAAUACCGCAUACGCUCGAGACCAGGCAUUUGGACUCGAGGAAAUCUACGGAGCAAUUCGAGGGGCUCGCGGCCUAUCAGCUAGUUGGCGAGGUAACGGCUCACCAAGGCGACGACGGGUAGCUGGUCUGAGAGGAUGGCCAGCCACAUUGGGACUGAGAUACGGCCCAGACUCCUACGGGAGGCAGCAGUGGGGAAUCUUGCGCAAUGGCCUAACGGCUGACGCAGCGACGCCGCGUGAGGGAUGACGCU